rnacentral:rRNA from 1 species
UAGGUAGCGCCUCGUGAACUCAUCUCCGGGGGUAGAGCACUGUUUCGGCAAGGGGGUCAUCCCGACUUACCAACCCGAUGCAAACUGCGAAUACCGGAGAAUGUUAUCACGGGAGACACACGGCGGGUGCUAACGUCCGUCGUGAAGAGGGAAACAACCCAGACCGCCAGCUAAGGUCCCAAAGUCAUGGUUAAGUGGGAAACGAUGUGGGAAGGCCCAGACAGCCAGGAUGUUGGCUUAGAAGCAGCCAUCAUUUAAAGAAAGCGUAAUAGCUCACUGGUCGAGUCGGCCUGCGCGGAAGAUGUAACGGGGCUAAACCAUGCACCGAAGCUGCGGCAGCGACACUAUGUGUUGUUGGGUAGGGGAGCGUUCUGUAAGCCUGUGAAGGUGUACUGUGAGGUAUGCUGGAGGUAUCAGAAGUGCGAAUGCUGACAUAAGUAACGAUAAAGCGGGUGAAAAGCCCGCUCGCCGGAAGACCAAGGGUUCCUGUCCAACGUUAAUCGGGGCAGGGUGAGUCGACCCCUAAGGCGAGGCCGAAAGGCGUAGUCGAUGGGAAACAGGUUAAUAUUCCUGUACUUGGUGUUACUGCGAAGGGGGGACGGAGAAGGCUAUGUUGGCCGGGCGACGGUUGUCCCGGUUUAAGCGUGUAGGCUGGUUUUCCAGGCAAAUCCGGAAAAUCAAGGCUGAGGCGUGAUGACGAGGCACUACGGUGCUGAAGCAACAAAUGCCCUGCUUCCAGGAAAAGCCUCUAAGCAUCAGGUAACAUCAAAUCGUACCCCAAACCGACACAGGUGGUCAGGUAGAGAAUACCAAGGCGCUUGAGAGAACUCGGGUGAAGGAACUAGGCAAAAUGGUGCCGUAACUUCGGGAGAAGGCACGCUGAUAUGUAGGUGAGGUCCCUCGCGGAUGGAGCUGAAAUCAGUCGAAGAUACCAGCUGGCUGCAACUGUUUAUUAAAAACACAGCACUGUGCAAACACGAAAGUGGACGUAUACGGUGUGACGCCUGCCCGGUGCCGGAAGGUUAAUUGAUGGGGUUAGCGGUAACGCGAAGCUCUUGAUCGAAGCCCCGGUAAACGGCGGCCGUAACUAUAACGGUCCUAAGGUAGCGAAAUUCCUUGUCGGGUAAGUUCCGACCUGCACGAAUGGCGUAAUGAUGGCCAGGCUGUCUCCACCCGAGACUCAGUGAAAUUGAACUCGCUGUGAAGAUGCAGUGUACCCGCGGCAAGACGGAAAGACCCCGUGAACCUUUACUAUAGCUUGACACUGAACAUUGAGCCUUGAUGUGUAGGAUAGGUGGGAGGCUUUGAAGUGUGGACGCCAGUCUGCAUGGAGCCGACCUUGAAAUACCACCCUUUAAUGUUUGAUGUUCUAACGUUGACCCGUAAUCCGGGUUGCGGACAGUGUCUGGUGGGUAGUUUGACUGGGGCGGUCUCCUCCUAAAGAGUAACGGAGGAGCACGAAGGUUGGCUAAUCCUGGUCGGACAUCAGGAGGUUAGUGCAAUGGCAUAAGCCAGCUUGACUGCGAGCGUGACGGCGCGAGCAGGUGCGAAAGCAGGUCAUAGUGAUCCGGUGGUUCUGAAUGGAAGGGCCAUCGCUCAACGGAUAAAAGGUACUCCGGGGAUAACAGGCUGAUACCGCCCAAGAGUUCAUAUCGACGGCGGUGUUUGGCACCUCGAUGUCGGCUCAUCACAUCCUGGGGCUGAAGUAGGUCCCAAGGGUAUGGCUGUUCGCCAUUUAAAGUGGUACGCGAGCUGGGUUUAGAACGUCGUGAGACAGUUCGGUCCCUAUCUGCCGUGGGCGCUGGAGAACUGAGGGGGGCUGCUCCUAGUACGAGAGGACCGGAGUGGACGCAUCACUGGUGUUCGGGUUGUCAUGCCAAUGGCACUGCCCGGUAGCUAAAUGCGGAAGAGAUAAGUGCUGAAAGCAUCUAAGCACGAAACUUGCC